rnacentral:rRNA from 1 species
GGGAAGUACGGGGCAGCAGCGAGGGGAAUACGGAGGGGGCAAGCGUUUGUCGGAUUUAUUGGGCGUAAAGGGAGCGCAGGUGGGUUCUUAAGUCUGAUGUGAAAGCCCACGGCUUAACCGUGGAGGGUCAUUGGAAACUGGGGAACUUGAGUGCAGAAGAGGAAAGCGGAAUUCCAUGUGUAGCGGUGAAAUGCGUAGAUAUAUGGAGGAACACCAGUGGCGAAAGCGGCUUUCUGGUCUGUAACUGACACUGAGGCUCGAAAGCGUGGGGAGCAAACAGGAUUAGAUACCCGAGUAGUC